GGGGAAGGGGCCAGCCCCGGCGGGGGGAGGGGGGGUGAAGAGGAGGUUUGGGGGGGGGGGGGGGGGGGUUAAACACGGUGCUGCUGCACCCAGGGGUGCUGCCGCCCCCCCCCCCCCUCCCCGGCGUGACGGGGUCCCUCGCCCUUGGAAAGACACCCGGGCGCUUUGUAUGUGCCCGAACGCGCAUAGCGACACAGCCACAUCCACACAUACGUGCAUGUAGCCGCCCGGUUUAGGCCAUAGGUGUGCCUAUAGAUACGGCCCAGCCCCCCUGCCAGCGCCCCGGGCCAGCCCCCCCCCCCCCCCCCCGUGCUGCCUUGGCCCCGCCGAGGGGAUGCCUUUUUUUAAAACAUUGCAAUGUUUUAAAUGAACUUGCGGCUAAUCAACCCGGGGGGAACCGCUAGGAAUUGCGUACCUAGGAGGGGGGAGAUGGACACGCAGCAUUCCAGAGGAACCGGUUUACCCCCACCACCCCCCCCCCCCCGCAAUAACCACGUUAACUGGUUGCAGGUUUGAGGAGAAUGUCAGGAUCUAUUCUCAAAAGCACCACGAGGAGAGUGGAAUGCAAAAUGAGUCAUUUUUGCUAAAAAUUGUUGUGUCUGGGUCUUUCAGCAGAUCUCUCUCCUCUCCUGCUUCCUCUCCCCCUUCUGCAGUGAACAUUUUGGGAACUGCAAGGAAAUCUAAAGCCUGAAUCUUUAUUUGUGCAGGCCGUUCCACUUAAAUAUUAAUUGAAUAUUUGUGAUGCCGUGCACCAAAGCCACCCUGCCAGCUCCGGCGCCUGGGCUAGUGGCAGCAGGAGCCCAGAGUCCCUUGACCACUGGAGGGAGCCCAUAUUGUGCCAGAAUUCAACAGAAAUACUACGUGGAUGACAAAAAAAUAAUAAAAUAUGAAAUAUCAGAUCAUUGUAGUCAGAACAAAGUGUCUUCUCCAGGUCAGACCGUGAUCUAUAGAUAUGUUAUAAAUGUUAUAAAAAUCAGAUUUAAAUGUCCCAUUCUACUUCAUCAGCACAAAGAAAGGAAAAAAAAUUAUUAAGAACAAGGCUUUUUUUUCCCACGUUUUGAAUAUCAGUCUGGCACCUUUCACCAGGAGUGAAUUCAUACACCAUGAUGGUGGCAGACCUGGAUUGGGGUGAUUGGCUUGUGCAAUCCCAAGAGCAGCACCGAUGCUGCUGCAGGAGAAGCCAGAGCAGCUCCCUGCUUGCUCUUGCUUAAAUGUAGGUCAGCACCUAUAGACUCCUUCCCACAAAGACCGCCCCAGAGCAGCAGGAGGUUGCCACACUGCUUAUUUCGAAAGAGAUUUUGCUCUUCUGAUAAGCCGACAACCCCAGAGAAGCAGAACAGAUCAAGCCAUUUUCACCUGCGUAUGGGACAAGUGUCCUCAUACUCGUACCUACAGGAGGUUGCCCUAGACCAAAAACUCUGCUUGGAAAUUGCACAGAGGAAUGUUCCUGGUCAAAUGUGGCCCUAAAUUAUGUGUUGUGAAUGUGCAAAUAUUUGUAAUUCAAAACACACUUUUAACACACAAAUAUUUCCAAUGGCUGGCUCCACAGAGUGAUGCCAAGUUGCUGGAGACCCUGAAAUGUCAAAAUGGAAUAAAACUGAAAGUGAUUUGUGUACUAAUAUGUUUUCUUGGCCCUGGCAAAAUUACCAUAAAAAGCAUGAUGUAACCUCAGCCACACAGACACAGAGAACCCGUUGUGUUUUGAUACCCAUGUUUUAAAAUACUAUCUGUAACGAGUAAAAAUGCAUUCUAGUAAACCA